rnacentral:rRNA from 1 species
UUCCAGACUCCUACGGGAGGCAGCAGUGAGGAAUAUUGGUCAAUGGGCGGAAGCCUGAACCAGCCAAGUCGCGUGAGGGACUAAGGCCCUGCGGGUCGUAAACCUCUUUUGCCGGGGAGCAGUGGUCCGGACGCGUCCGGACCGGGAGAGUACCCGGAGAAAAAGCAUCGGCUAACUCCGUGCCAGCAGCCGCGGUAAUACGGAGGAUGCGAGCGUUAUCCGGAUUUAUUGGGUUUAAAGGGUGCGCAGGCGGGCUGUUAAGCCGGCGGUAAAAAUUCAGGGCUCAACCCUGUCGAGCCAUCGGAACUGGCAGUCUUGAGUGGGCGAGAAGUAUGCGGAAUGCGUGGUGUAGCGGUGAAAUGCAUAGAUAUCACGCAGAACGCCGAUUGCGAAGGCAGCAUACCGGCGCCCAACUGACGCUGAGGCACGAAAGCGUGGGGAUCGAACAGGAUUAGAUACCCCAGUA